rnacentral:rRNA from 1 species
GACAGAGGAUGCAAGCGUUAUCCGGAAUGAUUGGGCGUAAAGCGUCUGUAGGUGGCUUUUUAAGUCCGCCGUCAAAUCCCAGGGCUCAACCCUGGACAGGCGGUGGAAACUACCAAGCUGGAGUACGGUAGGGGCAGAGGGAAUUUCCGGUGGAGCGGUGAAAUGCGUAGAUAUCGGAAGGAACGCCGGUGGCGAAAGCGAUCCGCUGGACCUCUUCUGACGCUGAGGCGCGAAAGCCAGGGGAGCAAACGGG